rnacentral:rRNA from 1 species
GAUGAACGCUGGCGGCGUGCCUAAUACAUGCAAGUCGAGCGAACAGACGAGGAGCUUGCUCCUCUGACGUUAGCGGCGGACGGGUGAGUAACACGUGGAUAACCUACCUAUAAGACUGGGAUAACUUCGGGAAACCGGAGCUAAUACCGGAUAAUAUAUUGAACCGCAUGGUUCAAUAGUGAAAGACGGUUUUGCUGUCACUUAUAGAUGGAUCCGCGCCGCAUUAGCUAGUUGGUAAGGUAACGGCUUACCAAGGCAACGAUGCGCAGCCGACCUGAGAGGGUGAUCGGCCACACUGGAACUGAGACACGGUCCAGACUCCUACGGGAGGCAGCAGUAGGGAAUCUUCCGCAAAGGGCGAAAGCCUGACGGAGCAACGCCGCGUGAGUGAUGAAGGUCUUCGGAUCGUAAAACUCUGUUAUUAGGGAAGAACAAAUGUGUAAGUAACUAUGCACGUCUUGACGGUACCUAAUCAGAAAGCCACGGCUAACUACGUG